rnacentral:lncRNA from 1 species
AUCUCAGACAAAUUAGAUAAAAAAUGAAUUUAUAGCAGAUACGUGUCCUAAGGCAUUCAGCUGAAUGUUUGGGUUUUAGGGAAGGAAGGAUAUUCCAUGUGCAACAUUCAGUAUUGGAUGAUCUGGAUUCAGUACAGAAAGCCUGGACUUUUGAGCCUAAACAGGAUCUGAAGCAGAAGGAUGAAAAACAGAUCAACCAACAACAAGAAUCAACCAUCUUGGUUUCUCAUUUGUCAAUAAUGGGCAAUAGUCCUGCCCACAUAUCAGGGAAUGU